AAAAGAAAUUCGGUGCAGGAUGAGUCCGCGUCUGAUUAGCUAGUUGGAGGGGUAAGAGCCCACCAAGGCAACGAUCAGUAGCCGGCCUGAGAGGGCGACCGGCCACAUUGGGACUGAGACACGGCCCAAACUCCUACGGGAGGCAGCAGUGGGGAAUAUUGCACAAUGGGGGAAACCCUGAUGCAGCGACGCCGCGUGAGCGAGGAAGUAUUUCGGUAUGUAAAGCUCUAUCAGCAGGGACGAAAAAAGACGGUACUUGACUAAGAAGCCCCGGCUAACUACGUGCCAGCAGCCGCGGUAAUACGUAGGGGGCAAGCGUUAUCCGGAUUUACUGGGUGUAAAGGGAGCGUAGACGGCAAGGCAAGCCAGAAGUGAAAGGGCAGGGCUCAACCCUGUACAUGCUUUUGGAACUGUGGUGCUAGAGUGCAGGAGAGGUAAGUGGAAUUCCUAGUGUAGCGGUGAAAUGCGUAGAUAUUAGGAGGAACACCAGUGGCGAAGGCGGCUUACUGGACUGUAACUGACGUUGAGGCUCGAAAGCGUGGGGAGCAAACAGGAUUAGAUACCCUGGUAGUCCACGCUGUAAACG
rnacentral:rRNA from 1 species